rnacentral:rRNA from 1 species
UACGUAGGGUGCGAGCGUUGUCCGGAAUUAUUGGGCGUAAAGGGCUCGUAGGCGGUCUGUUGCGUCAGGAGUGAAAACUCGGGGCUUAACCCCGAGCCUGCUUCUGAUACGGGCAGACUAGAGGUAUGCAGGGGAGAACGGAAUUCCUGGUGUAGCGGUGAAAUGCGCAGAUAUCAGGAGGAACACCGGUGGCGAAGGCGGCGUUCUGGACUGCAACUGACACUGAGGAACGAAAGCCAGGGGAGCAAACGGG